rnacentral:RNase_P_RNA from 1 species
GCGGAGGGCCGGAUGGCCGCGGGGCGCGCGCGCUGUCGCGGGCCCCGAGGAAAGUCCGGACUCCACAAGGCGACGGUGCCGGGUAACGCCCGGCCGGGGCAACCCGAGGGAAAGCGCCACAGAAAACAGACCGCCCCCUUGCGGGGGUAAGGGUGAAACGGUGGGGUAAGAGCCCACCGCGGGACGGGCAACCGGACCGGCACGGCAAGCCCCACCGGGAGCAAUGCCGAAUAGGGACCGCGCGCAGGGCAAGGUCGGGCAACCGAUAUCGCCUGCAGGCCACGCCUUGGCCCGGCGGUCCGGGUUGGCAGCUUGAGGCGCUCCGGCAACGGGGCGUCCAGAGGAAUGGUCAUCCGAAGGGCAGCCCCCUUCGACAGAAUCCGGCUUACAGGCCCUCCGCGCGU